rnacentral:rRNA from 1 species
GCUUUCGGCCAUACCACCUUAGGCACGCCCGAUCUCGUCUGAUCUCGGAAGCUAAGCAGGGUCGGGCCUGGUUAGUACUUGGAUGGGUGACCGCCUGGGAAUACCAGGUUCUGUAAGCA